CAAAACUCUUUGGUCGGUGUGGUAAAAUAUGUGGCGACACCAUGCAAAAAUCAUUCCUGGAAUGGUCGUACGCAAAAUUUGAAGUUGAGAGGCUGUCUGAAGUCGAUGAGUUUCGGUGCCCAGCCUGCACACCCUCAAUGUUAGCUGUCUCAGUGGAUGGGAACCGCAAGCUUUAUCGCUUUAAGAGCCAUUCAGGACCAAAUGGCUUUUUCGAAGGUGUCUUUUUGGCCAACGGCACAGAGGUGACCUCUUUUGUCAACCACAUCAGGGCAUCAACAGGACAUAAUCCUGGGAAAGGCAGGUGUGGUGGAAGCGAAUGGGUGGCUGCACGAGAGUCCUGAGGAGCUCAAGAAAUUGGCUGGAGAGUUGUCUAUUCAGGAAGACACUGUUCAGCAAUGGGUGUCUGAUGUUCAACAGUGGACUGCAGAAGGAGCAUGCAGUCAAAAUGAACUUGAAAAAACCAUUGAAGGACUGUAUCUCAGCAUUAAGCAGCGGAAAUAUCAGCUGUAUCGUCAGGCUGAUGGCAACAAGAGAAGACAUCUGCUUAGAAAAAAGAUUUCAGUGGAAAAGAGAUCCUUAGAAGAUGCCAUCACAAAAUACAAUGCUGUUGUGCCGGAAACUGGCAAACUCCCUUCUCCCAACGAGCUCCUGGCUGAGGAAAACUAUUCCUGGCCUUGGGAAUGUCAUGGUGAUAUGUUAAAGAAAAAAAAAGUCUUCGACAAGGUAAUGCUGCUGAACCGACUGAAGGAAGAGGAGGUCAUUGUUGUCCGUGAAGUCAAGCAGCACUGGGAGUAC